CCCACCCAACCCGACAGAUUCCCCCAACUCUCUCUCGCUCAUCCACUCUCCUCCUCGCUCUGUCGUCUCCGGUCCUCCCUCCGUCUUCUUCGCGAUUCCAGUGCGAUUACCUAAUUGCGACUCAUGAACGCUUCAGGAAAUCGAAGCCAUUACCGACCUUCACUUCACUCCUUCACCCUUCAACUUCAAAACACGAAAACCUCUCCUCCUAGAAGUUUUAUCCCCAAAAUCGAAACCCUAAACCGAGAGAAUUUGCGCCAAAAGAGUUCCGAUAUCCUCCACAAUUUUGUUCAAUCCUUCAAGCUUCAACUUCGAAACCAAGAAAACCUCUCGUCGUAGAUGAAUUAAUCCCAAAUUUGAAACCCUAAAGUGGUACAACUUCCGGCCAAGAAGUUCCGAUGUCGAUGAAAAUUGAAGCCGAAACUGGGUUUAAAUCCGUCAGAAAACACGACGUUCCCACAUGUAACUUAGAGAAGAACAAAUAUGUCUCAGGGGAUCGAUUCAAAGCAUUAAAAACCGUAAAAGAUAUACACAAAGAACAUCUGCCUAGAUGAUAAGUAUGCACAGAAUGACUUUUCAAGUUUUCAUGGGCCAAUCUCAAGAUGAGUACUGUGUACUGAUAUGGAGUUUGAUGAUUUCUCUUCGUAUUUAUGUAUUGUAUUAAAACAUUUAAGAUGCUGUAAAAUUAGCCUUUUUUAUAAUGUAAAUUGUUUUUUCCCGUUAGCAUUUUAUAAAUUUGUUUACAAUGAACAAAUGUCAACAUUAUUUCUUACUUUAGAUAUGGAUCUGAAAUCUUUAAGUUGUUCUAUUUAAUUCUUCUGUAA